GACGAACGCUGGCGGCGUGCUUAACACAUGCAAGUCGAACGGAAAGGCCCUGCUUGCAGGGUACUCGAGUGGCGAACGGGUGAGUAACACGUGGGUGAUCUGCCCUGCACUUCGGGAUAAGCCUGGGAAACUGGGUCUAAUACCGGAUAGGAGCCAUUUUUAGUGUGAUGGUUGGAUAGUUUUUUCGGUGUAGGAUGAGCUCGCGGCCUAUCAGCUUGUUGGUGGGGUAAUGGCCUACCAAGGCGGCGACGGGUAGCCGGCCUGAGAGGGUGGACGGCCACAUUGGGACUGAGAUACGGCCCAGACUCCUACGGGAGGCAGCAGUGGGGAAUAUUGCACAAUGGGCGCAAGCCUGAUGCAGCGACGCCGCGUGGGGGAUGACGGCCUUCGGGUUGUAAACUCCUUUCGCUAGGGACGAAGCUUUUUGUGACGGUACCUAGAUAAGAAGCACCGGCUAACUACGUG
rnacentral:rRNA from 1 species